UGGUUUGGUUUUCGUUUUGAUGUAGC
rnacentral:piRNA from 1 species